UACGUAGGGUGCAAGCGUUAAUCGGAAUUACUGGGCGUAAAGCGUGCGCAGGCGGUUUUGUAAGUUUGUCGUGAAAGCCCCGGGCUCAACCUGGGAAUUGCGAUGAAGACUGCAAGGCUUGAAUCUGGCAGAGGGGGGGUAGAAUUCCACGUGUAGCAGUGAAAAUGCGUAGAGAUCGGGAGGAACAUCAGUUGCGAAGGCGGACUCUCUGGACCAGUACUGACGCUGAGGCACGAAGGCCAGGGGAGCAAACGGG
rnacentral:rRNA from 1 species